AAGGCGGCGCCAUCGGUCGCCAUGGAAAUCGCGGCGGAUGGGCGGAUCCUGGGCAGGUUGGCUGGGUCGGGCUGCCCGGGCGACGCCGGAGUUGCAGUUGGAGGCUGCGGGAAUACAAAGGGGUGUCUACCUUUCAAGAGGAACAAGAAAAGAGAGGUGGGAAUAUGGAACCAAGCCAAAGAUUCUGCAGGAUCCUGCACAGUGAGCAUUGUUCUGGUUCAGGCCACUGUGCUCAACUGAACAGUAUCAGUAGCACAACAUUUGGAUGCCCUUGAAUACUGUUCCUGUUUCAAUUCAUUUGUUUGUCUGAGAAUUGGGAAUGCAUGUCUGGGCAGUGACAAGAGGCCAAAGAAAGCAGAAGAUGUGUGAAGAGGAGAAUCGAUUUUCCAUAAUGAGAUGUCAGAAACACUGCUUGCUAAGUCAGCCUGAAACCAAAGAAGAAGAAUGGCAUUCAGUGAUAAGAACUGUUCAUGAGCCUGAAUUCCAUGGCUGCUCCUGCACAAACCACCGGACACAGAUCCGGGGAAAGGCAACAAAGUUGCCUCUACUUUGUGAGUGGCUAGAAGUUACUGGACAUCUGGGAGCCCUGGUGCCUUGACUGUAAAAUGGAGACAACAACUCCUCUCAUGGUUGUUAUGACAAGGAAAUGAGAGAUACAUAUCAAGUGCCUAACAUAGAGCUGGCUCCUAUGAACCAGAACUUAUUAAGCAAUUGUAGAAGGCAAGAUUUAAAGCACAGACUUUGGAGCAGUCCUUGGGUUCCAAUCCUGGCUGCAUCGUUUAUCAUCUCUGAGCCUCAGUUUCCACAUCUGUAACAAAAGCUUUCAUUUUACAGAUGUAAAAGCAGUGUGUACCUCCAAGGGGUGGUUGUGAGGAUUAAUCAAGUUAAUACACAUGGCAUUCUCAGAUCAGUGCCUUGCACGGCAAUUUACUCAAUAAAUGUUAGCGAUUUUUUUUCAAUACAUGGUCAUUUUUUUUUUUUUUGGUCUCUUUUUAACUGCUCAAGAGGAAGACUGUGAGGAUUUUAAAUAGCCUGGAUUCUCUUCCUUCUGUCAACCAUAUGUCUUAACAUACUAUUACGAGUUACUCCUCCCCAAUAGUAGCAGUAUUGCUGGUUGUGAGGAGUUAACCCGGCCAUGCCUAUUACCUUGGGAAACCUACAGAAGCCUGCUGAAUGCAAUUUUCUAUCUGCAAAAUGAGCACAUCAUUCAAAGCAGUCGGUUAACUUAGGUAAGGAAAGCCAACAAGCAUGAUUGUGACUCAAGAUAGUUGCUCUUGUUAAGUCACUGCUCCUGCUCUCCCUCUCCCUCCCCCUCCCCCUCUCCCUCCAUCUCUGUCUCCCUCUCUCUCCUCUGUCUCCCUCUCUCUCCACGGUCUCCCUCUGAUGCCUAGCUGAAGCUGGACUGUACUGCCGCCAUCUUGGCUCACUGCAACCUCCCUGCCUGAUUCUCCUGCCUCAGCCUGCCCAGUGCCUGGGAUUGCAGGCGGGCGCCGCCACGCCUGACUGGUUUUCGUUUUUUUUUUUGGUGGAGACGGGGUUUCGCUGUGUUGGCCGGGCUGGUCUCCAGCUCCUAACCCCAAGUGAUCUGCCAGCCUUGGCCUCCCGAGGUGCCGGGAUUGCAGACGGAGUCUCGUUCACUCAGUGCUCAAUGUUGCCCAGGCUGGAGUGCAGUGGCGUGAUCCCCGCUCGCUACAACCUCCACCUCCCAGCCGCCUGCCUUGGCCUCCCAAAGUGCCGAGAUUGCAGCUUCUGCCCGGCCGCCACCCCCUCUGGGAAGUGAGGAGCAUCUCUGCCUGGCCGCCCAUCGUCUGGGAUGUCAGGAGCCCCUCUGCCCGGCCGCCCAGUCUGGGAAGUGAGGAGCGCCUCUGCCCGGCUGCCCAGUCUGGUAAGUGAGGAGCGCCUCUGCCCGGCUGCCCAGUCUGGGAAGUGAGGAGCGCCUCUUCCCGGCCGCCAUCCCAUCUAGGAAGUGAGGAGCGUCUCUGCCCGGCCGCCCAUCAUCUGAGAUGUGGGGAGUGCCUCUGCCCCGCCGCCCCGUCUGGGAUGUGAGGAGCGCCUCUGCCCGGCCACGACCCCAUCUGGGAGGUGAGGAGCGUCUCUGCCCGGCCACCCCGUCCGAGAAGUGAGGAGCCCCUCCGCCCGGCAGCCGCCCCGUCUGAGAAGUGAGGAGCCCCUCCGCCCGGCAGCCGCCCCGUCUGGGAAGUGAGGAGCAUCUCCGCCCGGCAGCCGCCCCGUCCGGGAGGGAGGUGGGGGGCAGCCCCCACCCAGCCAGCUGCCCCGUCCGGGAGGUGGGGGGGGGCGCCUCUGCCCGGCCACCCCUUCUGGGAAGUGAGGAGCCCCUCUGCCCGGCUGCCACCCCAUCUGGGAGGUGUACCCAACAGCUCAUUGAGAACGGGCCAUGAUGACGAUGGUGGUUUUGUCGAAUAGAAAAGGGGGAAAUGUGGGGAAAAGAUAGAGAAAUCAGAUUGUUGCUGUGUCUGUGUAGAAAGAAGUAGACAUGGGAGACUCCAUUUUGUUCUGUACUAAGAAAAUUUCUUCUGCCUUGGGAUGCUGUUAAUCUAUAACCUUACCCCCAACCCCGUGCUCUCUGAAACAUGUGCUGUGUCCACUCAGGGUUAAAUGGAUUAAGGGCGGUGCAAGAUGUGCUUUGUUAAACAGAUGCUUGAAGGCAGCAUACUGGUUAAGAGUCAUCAGCACUCCCUAAUCUCAAGUACCCAGGGACACAAACACUGCGGAAGGCCGCAGGGUCCUCUGCCUAGGAAAACCAGAGACCCUUGUUCACUUGUUUAUCUGCUGACCUUCCCUCCACUAUUGUCCUAUGACCCUGCCAAAUCCGAUCAAUAAAUACUAAAAAAAAAAAAAAAAAACCUGGGGAAAAAAAAAAAAGUUACUGCUCCUGUUACAAAGAAUGCAUACAGUUCCUCACCCCCUCCAAGAAAUUGACUAAGAUUUAUGCACAAAGUGUCUAAAAUUAUCAUAUUCUGCUCCAAUAGGAUAACAUUUAAAUGCACUUUAAAAUAAAAUUAGAACAAAAAUACAAAAAAGUCACUUGGUGUUUUCUUUUCUUUUUUUUGAGACAGGGUCUUGCUCUGUCACCCAGGCUGGAGUUCAGUGGCCCAUCCAUAGCUCACUGCAGCCUCGACCUCCUGGGCUUCAAAGUGAUCCUCCUGCCUCAGCCUGCCAAGCAGCUAGGACUGUGGAGGUGUCCAAUAAGCAGCUGAAAGCACAGAGCAGUAGCAUGGGACCGAGCCGUCGGCAUGGAGGUCAGGAUCACGGAGAGGAGGUCAGGAUCACUUUACUCUGUGAAAACACUAUGCCUGGGAUUCCGACUUCCUUCUCUCCACUUCUCUGCCUUGUCUCUCUCCAAAUACCAAUGAAGAACAAAAACAGUAUUUUGAAAUACUGAUCAAUGAGCUUCUCCUUCCACCUGUGCUUACAAAAUUCCUGAAGGCCUUCUAAUGAUCCCCAGCCUAGGCAGCAAAACUAGCCCACCCAAAAAUAAAACAAUGACCAUGAAUAGCUGAUCACUAAUUUCACAAGUCAUUGCUCCAAGGCAGAAAGACCUCCUCCCCGACCUGCAGAUGGGACAAAAUAAUCUGAAGGGAAAAGUGAAGAAGCCACAAGUAGAGGAGAUGGUGAGGUAAGGGACCCCCAACCUCUAAGGAUCAAGCACCAUAUACUGUGAACAUCAUUAUGCAACAAGCCACCCAUAGAUUGUGCAGUAAGAUAAUUGUCCAUCUCCUCUCUGAUUUACCUACUAUAAGAAACACCCUUACACUCAACAGCCCAUGGUACGCUAAACCCUCAUGAAUAAAACUAGGGCCUGAAUACCUAUGGUUUACUCCAACUAUAGGGGUGGGAGUAACAUGAAGGGAAACCUUCCAUAGCUGUCCAUGGAUGAAACCAGCUGAAAAGCUCCCAUAGAGGCCAGACAGGGAAUUUCACAACUAUAAUGUGUUCUUCAGAAACAUGCAUGAGGAAUUCUCUUGUAGUAUAAUUUAAAUUAUCUCAGCUUUGCACAGUGGCAGUAUUGUAGCCAGUGAGGUUCAUCCGAGGCACAAUUAUUGGCUAAUUAAACUAUCUCACUGACCAAGGCUACCUAUAACUCAUAUAAACAAAGUGUUUUUCCUUUAUCUUGGUUGAACCUAGGGCUUAAGAAUUCCUUGAUGUUCCAUGACUUGGAUACAUUAAGGCAAUCUAUUGAUGGUAAACUUUUAUCAGAUGCCAAUGUAGUCUCCCAAGAUUUCCUGGAGGGGAAAUGGAUAACAACACUGAACUUACUGACUCCAAUUAGAACAGCCUAUUUUGGUUCCUGUGUAAUACUCUCAAGAAAGAGUCUACUUCCUUUGUCCCCAUACAGGAUGAAUUUGUUUCUCCAUCACUUCUGCUUUAUUAUUUCACUCCCUCCAGACAUAAGUCAUAAUUAAAGAUAAUGCAUUUUUCUCUGAGUAAAGGAAAUUACAUUAUAUUACAUAAAUAAAUGAAGCUUUAAUUUUGUUCUCCAUAUUUCUCAACAGCUUUGCAGAUGGUAUUAAGAAACAGGGCAUCUGUGUCUCCCUGUGGAAAAACCCAGGCUCUUCUGGAACUGUGGGCUCCUUGUGUUGCUGUCAUGUAAUCAAGAAGCUAGAGCAUCUGCCCAUUAUCACAUUUCUAAUGUUGAAGUGGAGAUAUGAGGAUUUUGAAAGUUCCCAAUUGGAUGCCUCUAAAGGAAGUGAGGGCUCUUUCAAGGGAAAUUCAGCAGUAUCUGGAGACAUUUUUGGUUGUCAAGACCAGUGGGGUCCUUCUGGCAUCUACUGGAUAGAAGCCAUGGAAGCUACUAAACAUCCUACAAUGCACAGGAAUCCCACAAAAAGAACUGUCUAGCUCAAGAGCCCACUGAUUUUAUGUCAGACACUCCAAUGGGACUAAAAAGGAACAAAUGCCCUCAAGGCAGCUCAAGGCACUGAUAUCCAGUAGGGCACACAGAAAAGUGGGCACACAAUUCAAUCAGCAGAGGCAGAACUUUGUCAUCGCCUCUGUGAUCCCACUGCCAUCUCCCCAGUGGACUGUGAGCCUCCAGAAGAGAGAGCAUCUUCAUGUCUUCAUCUUUAUAGUCCACAGGAACUUGGACAUGGUAAGUGUGGUCUACAGGGUGUACAACUUGUAUUUGUCACAAUUGUUGCAUUAAGGAAUGAAUGAAUUCCCAGCCUCUUUAAGUUUGGCUCUAGCACAGAAAUAAAAAGAAAUGAAACAUUAAAAUAUAGAGAUGAAACAAAAUUCUUCAUAGUGCAUGCACUCAAAAGCCCAGAAACAAGGCCCAUUCACAAAGAUGAAAACAUCUUCUUUGUUUAGAGCUCUAAUCUGUCUCUCUUCUCUUUAUAAAUCUGAGAAGUGUAAAUCUAUAUAAUAGGUAUCUAUCUAAUGAAAUGCCUGAAUCCCAUUGCUUGACAUUCAAAGACAAGGGCCAUGGAGCAGAAUUUGACUAGUAACAGAGGUACAAUGGUAUCCAG
rnacentral:lncRNA from 10 species